rnacentral:sRNA from 1 species
CGACUUGGGGUCGCGACGCGAGGGCUU